rnacentral:rRNA from 1 species
GAUGAACGCUGGCGGCGUGCCUAAUACAUGCAAGUCGAGCGAACGGACGAGAAGCUUGCUUCUCUGAUGUUAGCGGCGGACGGGUGAGUAACACGUGGAUAACCUACCUAUAAGACUGGGAUAACUUCGGGAAACCGGAUCUAAUACCGGAUGAUAUUUUGAACCGCAUGGUUCAAAAGUGAAAGACGGUCUUGCUGUCACUUAUAGAUGGAUCCGCGCUGCAUUAGCUAGUUGGUAAGGUAACGGCUUACCAAGGCAACGAUGCAUAGCCGACCUGAGAGGGUGAUCGGCCGCACUGGAACUGAGACACGGUCCAGACUCCUACGGGAGGCAGCAGUAGGGAAUCUUCCGCAAUGGGCGAAAGCCUGACGGAGCAGCGCCGCGUGAGUGAUGAAGGUCUUCGGAUCGUAAAACUCUGUUAUUAGGGAAGAACAUAUGUGUAAGUAACUGUGCACAUCUUGACGGUACCUAAUCAGAAAGCCACGGCUAACUACGUG